rnacentral:rRNA from 1 species
GACGAACGCUGGCGGCGUGCUUAACACAUGCAAGUCGAACGGAAAGGCCCUGCUUGCAGGGUACUCGAGUGGCGAACGGGUGAGUAACACGUGGGUGAUCUGCCCUGCACUUCGGGAUAAGCCUGUGAAACUGGGUCUAAUACCGGAUAGGAGCCAUUUUUAGUGUGAUGGUUGGAAAGUUUUUUCGGUGUAGGAUGAGCUCGCGGCCUAUCAGCUUGUUGGUGGGGUAAUGGCCUACCAAGGCGGCGACGGGUAGCCGGCCUGAGAGGGUGGACGGCCACAUUGGGACUGAGAUACGGCCCAGACUCCUACGGGAGGCAGCAGUGGGGAAUAUUGCACAAUGGGCGCAAGCCUGAUGCAGCGACGCCGCGUGGGGGAUGACGGCCUUCGGGUUGUAAACUCCUUUCGCUAGGGACGAAGCUUUUUGUGACGGUACCUAGAUAAGAAGCACCGGCUAACUACGUG